CGAAGGUUUCCUCUUGAGUCAGGCGGAGGAGAGAAAGCAGGCAGAGCAGCAGGGAAAAGAUCCAUUUGCAGAAAUGGGCCUGGAUUCCUGUGAGGCAGAGAAGACUCAGUUGGAUGCCAGAGGGAGGCCGCUGGGUGACAGAACGAUGCCCCCAAGACCUCCUCAUCCAUCUUUUCACGAUAAUGGAGGAGAAGCAGCAGCAGCUGUGGAAACAGAUCUGGUAUUGGGGGAGAGCUUUGUGGGGAAAGAGUCAGAGGAGUGGGGCAGCCAGGGAGCCUCUGGGC